CCUACGGGAGGCUGCAGUGGGGAAUAUUGGACAAUGGGGGCAACCCUGAUCCAGCCAUGCCGCGUGUGUGAAGAAGGCCCUCGGGUUGUAAAGCACUUUCAGUGAGGAAGAACGCCUGGUGGUUAAUACCCAUCAGGAAAGACAUCACUCACAGAAGAAGCACCGGCUAACUCCGUGCCAGCAGCCGCGGUAAUACGGAGGGUGCGAGCGUUAAUCGGAAUUACUGGGCGUAAAGCGCGCGUAGGUGGCUUGAUAAGCCGGUUGGGAAAGCCCCGGGCUCAACCUGGGAACGGCAUCCGGAACUGUCAAGCUAGAGUGCAGGAGAGGAAGGUAGAAUUCCCGGUGUAGCGGUGAAAUGCGUAGAGAUCGGGAGGAAUACCAGUGGCGAAGGCGGCCUUCUGGACUGACACUGACACUGAGGUGCGAAAGCGUGGGUAGCAAACAGGAUUAGAUACCCCGGUAGUC
rnacentral:rRNA from 1 species